rnacentral:rRNA from 1 species
GACGAACUGUGCAAACGUUAUUCGGAAUCACUGGGCUUGAAGAGUGCGUAGGCGGUUUUGUAAGUAGGGUGUGAAAGCCCCCGGCUCAACCGGGGAAUUGCGCCCUAAACUGCAAGGCUGGAGUGAGGUAGGGGUGUGUGGAACUUCUAGUGGAGCGGUGAAAUGUGUUGAUAUUAGAAGGAACGCCGGUGGCGAAAGCGACACACUGGACCUUGUCUGACGCUGAGGCACGAAGCCAGGGGAGCAAACGGG